rnacentral:rRNA from 1 species
UUGAUGGCGACCGGCGCACGGGUGAGUAACACGUAUCCAACCUGCCGAUGACUCGGGGAUAGCCUUUCGAAAGAAAGAUUAAUACCCGAUGGCAUAGCUCUUCCGCAUGGUGGAACUAUUAAAGAAUUUCGGUCAUCGAUGGGGAUGCGUUCCAUUAGGUUGUUGGCGGGGUAACGGCCCACCAAGCCUUCGAUGGAUAGGGGUUCUGAGAGGAAGGUCCCCCACAUUGGAACUGAGACACGGUCCAAACUCCUACGGGAGGCAGCAUG